AAGGCUGAGGUGGGAAGUUUACAGGUCCAGGCCCAGUCAGACAAUGAAGUCGCUGUGGCCUCGUGACUCCUGCGAGCUCCCGCGCUGUCUGAGUCAGGUGCUCGCUUCCCCCUUCCACACCCCGGUGUCCUGCCGAGCCCACCUCGAGAUAUCACAGGCUCUGGCCCCACCCAUGCCGGGAUACAUUCACUGAGCUUGAGGAGUGUGGUGCUCCCUUCUGAGAGAAGCUGAGGGUGGAACUGGCUGGUUGAGGUGACUGGCAAAUCCCACCAGCCGUGCCGUGGUCAGGCCUGUCUGAGGUGGGCAUCAGCGAGCUCUGGAAGAGGAGCCUGUACCACAAAUGCAGCCACUGCUGUUGGUUUCUGUGUCCCCGCUCAUUUUGUUUUCCAGUGAUGUUCCUCUUAAGAAAAUGCUCCUGACUCAUCCAUGGCAGGGAGGUUUGCCGCUAUCUGGACAAGGCCACCCUUCGGGGAGGCGACAGCUGCCCCAGCGAGUAAUGAGGAGCAGCGGCAGUGAUGGGGCAGAGUUGGGGCUGGGAGAUUAGAGAGCCCCUGCCAGGGCCUUUCCCUCCCGCCUGGCCUGGCUCCUGCUCUGGACUCCUUGAUGGAUGUUGAAGCCCACAGGGCUGCAGACUCCUCCUCCUUCCUGGGCACAGGCCAGGACACCCUACUCCGGCCUGCCCACUCCUGCAGUCAUCUUUGUCUUCAGACCAAAUGCACAAGUACUUUGUUAAAGGGCGCCAGGCUGUCCUUAGCAUGGUCCGGAAGGCAAAGUACCGGGAGCUGCUCCUAUCAGAGCUCCUGGGCCGGCGGGCACCUGUCGUGGUGCGGCUUGGCCUCACCUACCAUGUGCACGACCUCAUUGGGGCCCAGCUAGUGGACUGCAUCUCUACCACUUCAGGAACCCUCCUCCGCCUGCCAGAGACAUGAAGAUUCUGCUCAUUAUUGCUCAGCUCCUCAGAGUGGGCCGGGAGGGGACUAGAAGAGCUGCAUGAUGGUGGCUGAGACAGGGUCACCUUGGGAAGGCUUGGGAGCCAGGAUGAGUGUCGGGCUCUCGUGUGUGCAAAAGGUCAGAUGUGACUGCUGCUGUUUGCCUGGUUUCUGACCCAGUGGUGGGGUUUGAGCUAUGCUUCUCUGCCCUUCCAUGGAAAGUGAAACCAGAAAUGGUGCCAAGGCUGUGGCUGUUCCCUUUCGUGUAAAAUGGUGCUGUUAUUACUCUGUCUUGAAAUAGGAAGGUGGGAUUUCUGGGGAGGCUGGUGAAGGAGGGCAGGGUUCUUUUCUCUACGUGUCAUGUUAAAAUUGCCAAAUAAAGUACCUCUGCCUGUGA